GACGAACGCUGGCGGCGUGCCUAAUACAUGCAAGUCGACCUUAGUGGCGAAAGGGUAAGUAACACGUGGGUAACCUGCCCAUCAGAAGGGGAUAACACUUGGAAACAGGUGCUAAUACCGUAUACUGAUGGAUGGACCCGCGGUGCAUUCGCUAGUUGGUGAGGUAACGGCUCACCAAGGCCACGAUGCAUCGCCGGCCUGAGAGGGUGAGCGGCCACACUGGAACUGAGACACGGUCCAGACUCCUACGGGAGGCAGCAUUAGGGAAUCGUCGGCAAUGGACGCAAGUCUGACCGAGCAACGCCGCGUGAGUGAAGAAGGUUUUCGGAUCGUAAAACUCUGUUGGUAGAGAAGCGGUAUCUAACCAGAAAGCCACGGCUAACUACGUGCCAGCCGCCGCGGUAAUAC
rnacentral:rRNA from 1 species